AUCGUUCAUCUCUCUAACGGAAAUCUUCUAGAGAGACGGAAGUAGGGAACUCCCCGAAGGAACGCGCC
rnacentral:ncRNA from 1 species